rnacentral:rRNA from 1 species
AAAGAAACCAACAGGGAUUGCCCUAGUAACGGCGAGUGAAGCGGCAACAGCUCAAAUUUGAAUCUGGCUCUAGGGCCCGAGUUGUAAUUUGUAGAGGAUGCUUUUGGCGCGGUGCCUUCUGAGUUCCCUGGAACGGACGCCAUAGAGGGUGAGAGCCCCGUCUGGUUGGACACCAAGCCUCUGUAAAGCUCCUUCGACGAGUCGAGUAGUUUGGGAAUGCUGCUCUAAAUGGGAGGUAUAUGUCUUCUAAAGCUAAAUACCGGCCAGAGACCGAUAGCGCACAAGUAGAGUGAUCGAAAGAUGAAAAGCACUUUGAAAAGAGAGUUAAAUAGUACGUGAAAUUGUUGAAAGGGAAGCGUUUAUGACCAGACUUGAGCCCGGUGAAUCUCCAGCGUUCUCGCUGGUGCACUUCGCCGGCUCAGGCCAGCAUCGGUUCGUUGCGGGGGAUAAAAGCUGCGGGAAUGUGGCUCCCUCGGGAGUGUUAUAGCCCACUGCAUAAUACCCUGUAGCGGACCGAGGUUCGCGCUCUGCAAGGAUGCUGGCGUAAUGGUCAUCAACGACCCGUCUUGAAACNCGGCCNNNNNAUGCGAGUGUUCGGGUGUCAAACCCUACGCGUAAUGAAAGUGAACGCAGGUGAGAGCUUCGGCGCAUCAUCGACCGAUCCUGAUGUUCUCGGAUGGAUUUGAGUAAGAGCAUACGGGGCCGGACCCGAAAGAAGGUGAACUAUGCCUGUAUAGGGUGAAGCCAGAGGAAACUCUGGUGGAGGCUCGCAGCGGUUCUGACGUGCAAAUCGAUCGUCAAAUAUGGGCAUGGGGGCGAAAGACUAAUCGAACCUUCUAGUAGCUGGUUUCCGCCGAAGUUUCCCUCAGGAUAGCAGUGUUGAACUCAGUUUUAUGAGGUAAAGCGAAUGAUUAGGGACCCGGGGGCGCUUUUUAGCCUUCAUCCUAUUCUCAAACUUUAAAUAUGUAAGAAGCUCUUGUUGCUUAAUUGAACGUGGGCAUUCGAAUGUAUCAAC